GCUACACAAAAUGCACAUGGAACAGGAAUUUCUAAGAAGAAUGCACUCCUUGACCCAAAUACAACUCUGGACCAGGAAGAAGUCCAACAGCACAAAGAUGGGAAACCUCCAUACAGUUAUGCCAGCCUCAUUACAUUUGCAAUUAAUAGCUCACCCAAAAAGAAAAUGACUUUAAGUGAAAUUUAUCAGUGGAUUUGUGAUAACUUCCCAUAUUAUAGAGAGGCUGGCAGUGGUUGGAAGAAUUCCAUACGACAUAAUCUGUCAUUGAACAAAUGUUUCCUUAAAGUGCCUCGAUCUAAGGAUGACCCUGGAAAGUGUUUCCUGACAUUUGAGGAGCUUUUCCAAAACCACCCUCACCACAGUGGGAGAAAACCAUUGAGCGAAGUUGGGGUGGGAGUAGAUUUUGGUCUUGGGUAUGGGACGGACUUUAUAACCCCUUAGGAUUUUGCUAGCUGCUGCCAUGACUUAGGUCAAGAGGUAGAAGUAGCUCGUAUAGCAUCUUCUCUGUAUUUUCACGAUACAGCUUUCUGUUCAUUGUAUUACCAGAGAGGUGUGAAGAACAACCUAAUCUUGAAGUGUAUUGUUGAAUCAUAGAUGUUUUUAUGUGGCUAUCUAUUCCUUACUUAAUCCUUCAUUUUCAAGAAGAUUGUGUCGUAAAAGCCCUUAAAAUUUGGUACCCUUUAUGUACAUUGGUGGUCUGAGAUUCAUUUUUCUCACCUCUUUACAACUAAUUUCAAGCAGCUAUGUUACCACUUUAUUAAAAAAAACACACACACACACAAAAUGAAAUUCAGUUUUGCAUCCACUUUGCUGCUUUUUUGGGGACAGAUUUGUUUUUCUUUUCUCUUGAUUAUACCCUUUUUACCCUGUCUAUACAUUCUGCAGUCUAUCUCCAUUUUUUAAAUCCCGUCUUUUGUCUCUUCUCUUUUCAUUAGUUCUGUUUUCUCUAUAUUUGUCUUUUUUUUUUUAAAUUCUUUGGGUUAUAAGUCUUAUUGUGUAAUUCAUACAUGUGUCUUAAUUAUCUUAAAGGUAAAUAUUUACAUCAGGGAAAAGCAGAUUACUGGCUAAAUAUAGUUUAAAAAAUAUAAUUUUCUUUCUCUGCUUUUCAGCUUAACCUUUUCUCAAUUUUGUUUCCCUUUCUUCAGUUCAGAGAAAUGAUCUUUGACUUGAAAGGAACUAAAGGAUUAUAGGGCUUAGUUUCAACAGUUAUCUAAACUUAGUAGCAGUGGGCUCUAAUAGAACUGAGAAAAUAGCUAAGAAGUUUAAAACCACAUGAAGGCCACCUGACUAUCCUGGGG
rnacentral:lncRNA from 10 species